UUUUUUAACAAAAAUAAUUUCCUUGAGUUUAAUAACGAUCUCCUAGUAAAAAAUAACAAUAAAUAACAAGUUUGAGAAAAGAAAAAUAUAAAAGAAAAAUAAAUGUAAAACAGUAGAGAAAUGUUUAUAUGGUAGGAAGAUGAAAUGCAUGCAUGGUUCACAUGAUAACGCAAGAAUUUGUAUUCUCGUCGUUGAACAUGGCAUAAUUGGGGUUUUCCCCGAAGAGCCUGGGAGAGUCAUUUCCGAAUUGAAUUUGGAAUGUAUCGACGUGAGGACUCUCUUGUCCCGUCUCGGCCUGCACAGUGCCACUCUCUUCUUCCCUCUCAGCCUCCGCUGAUCUCUUCGCCUCUUUCCCGCAUGCACACCCCAUCUUCUUCUUCUUCUUCUUCUUUUCUGAUAUAUCUUUCUUCAGUUUCAUGACAGAAAAUGAGUUAACCGAGUGUUCACUGUUUUUCUUAACUUUAACUGUUGCUUUGUGAAAUAAAAUACUCUUUGCAGUUAUCAUAAUAAUUCCAUUUGAGUUUAACAAUUUUUUUUUUAGUUUUUCUUGAUUUCUAAUUGUUGGUCUUCUGAAGUGAAUUUCAUCAACUACUAGAAAAUCAUUAAAUAAAAACUAAUUUUAGAGACAAAAUAAUUAGUUGCUAUUAUGACUACAUUAAAUACUAUAUUAGAGACUUAAAAAAUUAUUGAUAUCUAAAUUAUUUUCUAUUAUUGAUAAAUAGUUUCUAAAUUGGUAUCUAAUUAGCUAGUUACCUAAGUUUUAACUAUCAAUUAUUUAGAUUUUAAAGUUGAUAUGUCUUUUUUUUCAUUCCUCUCUCCUUAUUUGAUCUUAGGGUCGGGAAAAUAAAUUUCUAAGGUUUCUUUUGGGAAGAGCUAGGAUUUAGAGAUGAGAACCUAAGAUUUUUGCUUUAAUUUUUUUAUGUUAGGACGAGAAAACUAGGUUAUCUUAAGGGUUUUCUUAUCUACUCUAGGAUUUGUCUACCCAAUAACCCAAACAAAUAUUCAUCAAGUGUAUAUAGCAAAAGGGUUCACAUUCAAUUUUAAUUUAGAAAGAGUGAUAAAUCCAAAAUAAAAUAAAAAUAUACAAAGGUGAUCGUCUCAUAGAACAAAAUUGUCUAAUCCUUAGAAAAGAUUUUAGAAAGUAAUGUAUGGCCAACCUAGUUAUCAUGCAAACACACAAAUAAGUAAUUAGUAUAACCUAGGAUAAUCUAAUUUUUUUUUUAGAACAUACUAAUUUGAAAACUUAUGUUAUGGAUUGUAACUGGUCGUUUGCAUGACAAGGCUUCAUUAAGAGAAAAUGAGCAAUUGGUCUUGAACUAGCUUCAACAUUCUAUCCAAUCCUUGUUAAAAUGCUUCUUGAUCAUCUUCUUCUUUGUUUUCCUUAUUUUGAGGGCUUGCAUAUUUUUUAUUUUGUUAGGUGUAAACCUCCAUUUUAUUUUUCCUUGAACUAAUAUAUUCUUUCCAGAUUUUGAUAUACCUGUAAUAGAAAAAUUUGUCUUUAGUAACCUUCUAUAACACCUGCUAUGUUCACAUCGUGAUCUUUUAGUGAUGCAAAACAUCACCGUCAUAGUUUUAAAGACUUUCAGACACCGUAGUAUGAACCAACAACAGAUGCAGGAAGACAUUAAUUUUCAUCACAUUUUGGCCAAGUUAUGGCAAACAUGUUGAUACGUAUAGAACAACACAUGUGCCAGCAUAUGGUUUCAUGCCAUCCAGUUACCCUUAGCAAUUCCAUAUUGAACAAGGAUCACCCUCAAUUGCACUUUUUGAUGUACACUCGUACAAGCCAUUUCAAUCCACAAUCCCUCUUCAAUCUCUACAAUCAGAACAACCUCCACCAUCAGAAGAAGAACCACAAUGACAACGAAGAAAUCCAAUAUGGAAAAGACGUCGACCUCGUUGUGGGACCAAACACUACUACAAAGAUUCAACAUCUCCUUAAUGAAGUGCAUUAUCAAGUUUAUAAUGUUUAUUAAUAAUGUAAUUUCAUCACAAGUAUUUAUAAUAUUAUGCUUCAUUCAAAAAUAACUUCAUUUGUUCUUGUUUAAAGUUAAUUAUUAAAAAUUUAUUUUGGAACCACUUAAAAUGGUAAUGGGUUUAAGAAACACAAUUCUACAUGCUAAACAUGGCAUUCAAAGUAAUCUUAAUAUAGUCCAAAGCAAAUUAAUUAAGUUACACGUUCAACUAAUGGGUCAAAGUGUAUAAAUCAUGAAUAAGGCCUUGAACUAUG
rnacentral:lncRNA from 1 species